UACGAGGGGUGCAAGCGUUGCUCGGAAUUAUUGGGCGUAAAGGGCAAGUAGGUGGUCUCAUUUGUCUGGGGGUGAAAGCCUUGAGCUUAACUCAAGAAGUGCCCCGGAAACGGUGAGACUCGAGUAUUGGAGAGGGUCGUGGAAUUCCCGGUGUAGCGGUGAAAUGCGUAGAGAUCGGGAGGAACACCAGAGGCGAAGGCGGCGACCUGGACAAUUACUGACACUCAACUGCGAAAGCGUGGGGAGCAAACAAGG
rnacentral:rRNA from 1 species